AGCCUUAUAGUCAAAUUUAUGACAUUAAAUUGCAAAUUUAAAAUUGGGUUUAACCUAAGGCUU
rnacentral:tRNA from 1 species